ACAAAACCAAUAUAUAUACAUAUACACAAUAAGCAUGAGUCGGGCAGUUCUGGUUUGGUUCUUCUUGGUGGUAACCCUAAUCUUGAAUUUGAGAACCGUAGGAGGAGUUGUGGGUGAAACUUAUCAUGUUCACAUCAUGAAUGGUCUGCAAACUAACUCGCACGCACUAAUCGUACGGUGCAAGUCGAAAAACGAUGAUCUGGGCAGGCACGUUUUGUGGAAAGAUGGCGAUUUUACUUUCCAUUUGAAGGUGAAUUUUUGGCAGACAACUCUCUUCUUUUGCGGCUGGAACUGGGGAAACAAGCGAGCCAUGUUUGAUGUUUUUAAAGCUGAUGAUGAAGGACAUGAAUGUGCCCAAACAGGAAACUGUUACUGGCAAGCUAGAGAAGAUGGUUUUUACUUCACUGCUAAUACAACUAUGUCAUGGGUCCAUAAGUAUAACUGGAAUAAUUAAUUUAUAUAUAUCCAUUAUCUGAUCUAAUCUAUUUUCAAUGAAAAAUAGUGGGUUUGAAUAAAAUUCUGAAAUUUUUGAAGAAAUAUUAUAUUUAUAUCAAAACUGGCAUACAUAUAUAUAUUAUCUAAUUAAUGAAAUAUGUAAAUUUUAAAUAAAAAAACAACCUCCAAAACUUUGUUCAUGCUCCAAUAUCCUACUCAUACUUAAUAUUCCUAUUUUCUUUCUGAAGAAAAAGGCAUAGAGCUCAAAAAACAAUUUGUAGAAAUCAAUUCAAAUGAUAAGCAUAAAAUAGAAAGAGGAGAGAGAGAUCAAACCAGUUAAUAGCAGAAAAUCCUCACUUUUGUCUUUAAGGAAACAUUAGAAGUCAUUUACAAACUUCUUCCCUGUUGAAUUCCCUACUAAAAAACGAGAACUCAACCAAAAUCCAACAUAUCCAGCAAGAAAUGUNNNN
rnacentral:lncRNA from 1 species